AGCGAACGCUGGCGGCGUGCCUUACACAUGCAAGUCGAACGUGAACGGCUUCGGCCUAGUAAAGUGGCGUACGGGUGAGUAACACGUAGGUAAUCUACCCUGAAGUUCGGAAUAACCUGCCGAAAGGCGGGCUAAUACUGGAUAGAGCGAAGGACUCGUAAGGAGUUUUUCGGGAAAGGGAGCCCGCAAGGGCCCUUGCUUUAGGAUGAGCCUGCGUCUCAUUAGCUAGUUGGUGGGGUAAUGGCCUACCAAGGCAGUGAUGAGCAGCUGGUCUGAGAGGAUGAUCAGCCACACUGGAACUGAAACACGGUCCAGACUCCUACGGGAGGCAGCAGUGGGGAAUCUUGCGCAAUGGACGAAAGUCUGACGCAGCCACGCCGCGUGAGUGAAGAAGGCCUUCGGGUUGUAAAGCUCUGUCGGGCGGGACGAAAAGCUUUAUGGUUAAUAGCCAUGGAGCCCGACGGUACCUUUGGAGGAAGCACCGGCUAACUUCGUGCCAGCAGCCGCGGUAA
rnacentral:rRNA from 1 species